GUGGGUAUAGCUCAGUGGUGGAGCACAUGUUUAGCUUGCAUGCGGUCCUGGGUUCAAUCCCCAGUACCUCCA
rnacentral:tRNA from 1 species